CGUAAUUUAGCAACUUUCAGCAACAAAUCGACCUGCCUCUAGCAACUUCCCCUGAAAAUUAGUUGUCAACACAGAGUCGGAUUUCCCAUAGGGAACUGUAAACAUGCUAGCUAAUAUCCUGUGGAUGCCUCCAUCUAGUUCCCUAGAACAGCAGACCGAUCUGUCAACCAGGCUCGGUGGGUGACAGGUAACCGUGUUUCCACAAAGCUGUUCCAGGCCUGGGGUGGCACGCUGGAACUUCCAGAGGCUUGUAGGCCUGAAGCAGUGUGAUGUGGUCCAGAUCUGACACCCCUACUAGCUCAACCACAGUUCUCACAGCUGCAGUCGUCUGCCCCUGCACCUGCUACACCGGCCACGACAGGUGAUUCAGAUCUGCCAGCCCCAGCAGUCCUCUGCUGUGGUAUUUCAUUUACCGGCUGCACCGGUUCCUACUACACUCGCCGUGAAGGGAGAAUCUUUUGAGGAUUCCCAGAUGGAUAUAGAUCUGCCAUGCACUCCACCACUGCCCCAGACAGCCUCACCCAGAAGUGCAUGCACCGGGCCUAUCACAACUGACGAAGCAGAGAUGGGAGGCUGACAAAGAAAAAUAAAACACAACAUGCACACACACUCUCCCUCUCUGUCACACACACACACACACACACACACAUUAUCCCCAAUGUAAAUAAAUAAAUAAUUUUAUUUUAGGAUUGGAGAUAUCUACGCCUACAUAUCCAUUAUCAAUAGCUAUGUAUUUACUCUAUCCAAUCAAAGUGUGAUUGAUAAUAAUCAAAGUGUGAUUGAUAAUAUUGUAAGAGUAUUGCUUAAUUUGUCGUUUGAGGAAAUUCUGUGUGCUUUUUUCUGAGUGGAAAAACAUGCCUCACUCUCACUCACACACCCAAUGUAAAUACAUUGUUUAUUUUUAAUGUAUGCUCCAUUUUAUUUGAGGAUUGUGUGCAAUAAAGUACAUUCACAGUUAAAGCAACA